rnacentral:rRNA from 1 species
GAGACGCACUCUUUUUAGAGUGAGCGGCAAACGGGUGAGUAACGACGUGGGAAUCUACCCAUCUCUACGGAAGUAACACAGAGAAAUUUGUGCUAAUACCGUAUACGUCCUAUUGGAGAAAGAUUUAUCGGAGAUGGAUGAGCCCGCGUUGGAUUAGCUAGUUGGUGAGGUAACGGCUCACCAAGGCGACGAUCCAUAGCUGGUCUGAGAGGAUGAUCAGCCACACUGGGACUGAGACACGGCCCAG